GCCCUGUACUCUGACCGGAACUCCAGAGGGCAUUGGAUGGUAGCCACAAUGGACAGUGACCAGAACCCCACAAGCAGUAUCUCCUCUGCUGUCAUUAACUACACUUUUCAAGAUAAUGGAAGACCAGAACACGCGCUGAUUAAUGGAGGUACCUAUCUUCGAAUAAGACCUCCAAUGUAUUGGAGACUGCAAGGUGGUGACGAGGAGAACGUAGCUUGGCAGCAUUGGAUGGUGGUCUAUAGUGUGACUUUGGAGACAAA